AACGAACGCUGGCGGCAGGCUUAACACAUGCAAGUCGAACGCUCCGCAAGGAGAGUGGCAGACGGGUGAGUAACGCGUGGGAACGUGCCUUUUGGUUCGGAACAACUUCGGGGAAACUGGAGCUAAUACCGAAUGUGCCCUUCGGGGGAAAGAUUUAUCGCCAAAAGAUCGGCCCGCGUCAGAUUAGCUAGUUGGUGGGGUAAUGGCCUACCAAGGCGACGAUCUGUAGCUGGUCUGAGAGGAUGAUCAGCCACGCUGGGACUGAGACACGGCCCAGACUCCUACGGGAGGCAGCAGUGGGGAAUCUUGGACAAUGGGCGCAAGCCUGAUCCAGCCAUGCCGCGUGAAUGAUGAAGGCCUUUAAGGGGUUGUAAAAUUCUUUCGUCGGGGACGAUAAUGACGGUACCCGAAGAAGAAG
rnacentral:rRNA from 1 species